UUUAUUAAGUUUGUUGACAUUACUUAGUUUAACUAAGUAAUUCCAACUUUUUCCCCACACAAAGUGCUUAAACUCAACUUGUUCAUUUAGCUAAACUUAAAAGUUUAAGUAUUGUGAAUGCACCAGAUAUACAGUAGGUGGCGGUAAUACUCCAAAGGAGUGAGAGGCCAUUAAUUGGACGAAGAGGAAGAAGACUGCACAUGCGUAGUUACUUGCCUCAGAUAGCAUGUUCGUUAAUUUGCACGUGGCUGGAUAAGAGCAUGAUGAGUUAUCGGCAAAGAAUCGAUUCAAACGAAUCAUGAUCAAUUUUCUACCCAAUAUGCCUUCUGGUGAAAAAUGAAAGCAGCAUGGAAUCAAAACGAUUAGAAAUUGUGGAGGAAAUGAAGAAACGACAUCCAAGUUCUACACUGAUAGCACAGUACAUGGACAUGACUUUUUCUCUAAGAAGAAAAGAGUUGGUUGAAAAGGAGCCUUCAGUAAAAGAGACUUUACAAAGAUGGCCAGCACUCUUCAGGGAAAGUCAGAUUAUUGCUGAGUUCAACCGGAGUAUCUAAUGCAAAUGAAGUCUGCAAACAUCACUGAUGUCACUGCUCGACGGACAGCAGUUCUCUGUGGUCUUGCUGUCCUUCUUGGGGAAGACACUACAGACUUCAAAACAUGCUGACAUUGAUAUUGAUGCACCUCAAGUAUCGAUAGGAAUUCUCACUGUGGUGCCGGAGGACAGCCCGAUGUCUCCACAAGGUUUGCCAUUGGAGGUCACUGAUACAGCAAUAAUUUUGGAGGGUGUUAUAGCAAUGGAUGGACUUGAGAAUGUUCCACAUGCCAUGUGUUUUGUUUUUGGGCUGAUCUAUGCUUUAAAUAUGGAGUACCCUUCACAGCUUAAGAAUUUGUUCAAUACGUUUUUAAUAGCAGAAACAAGCCUGUCUUGGGUCUAUUGUUGCAUUUUGGGUGUUGUAUCCAGAUUGAUGGGUGA